ensembl:snRNA U6 U6 spliceosomal RNA
GCCAUGGAAAUUUUCACAGGACACAUAACAAAAUUGGGACAAUACAGAGAAGAUUAGUGUAGCCUCUGCUCAAGAAUGAUAUACAAAUCAAUGAAGUGCUUUUUAUUAAA